rnacentral:misc_RNA from 1 species
CUCAACCUUCAGCACAGUUGGAAUCUAAGACAUCACAAAGAAAGCCAACUUCAAUGUGGAAAAUUUAGGAAGAUAAAAGAAAAAACACUGCCCUGAUAAGAUUGACUAAGAACAGUUGAAGGCCUGCCAGAUGGCUAAGCAACUCAACUUGCUUGAUAUUACAAGAUCCUUUGAAUUGAACUUGAUUUAAAGGUUAAUGACCAUUAAGAGGAUGCACAACAUACAUAACUACACUGCUCUAGAGACAGAUUCACAAAAAAGUUUGGUUGCACUUCUUUGUAGCCUACAAGCUCAUUUAAAUUGAGCUUCAUCUUAAGGUUCAAGUAUUUCUAAAACCUAGAAGAGGCCAUAAAAAUGGAAUGCGCUAGCAUAUGCAACAAUUCUUUCAAAGAACAAUAGCAACUCCACAUAAGGGGGACUCCAAAAAAUGGAUUAAAAUUUUCACAUCCAACUCCAAGUGGAGCAUGCAACCACUAUCACAGCACAAGACACGUUAUAAUGAGUUCAUAUUUUGGUCAUAAAAAUAGCCAGCUCAAUCACUGAGAAUUUUGACAUAGCCAAGCAAUCUAUUAAGAGAAUCUUGAAAGAUUCAAAAACAACAGAUGCACCAAUAUGAACACAAGUUUGGUGUCACACAAAUGCCAACAGGAGUUAUUCAUAUCUCUUGGCAAUCCUAGAAAUCAGUUAGAAAGGAAAGAAAAACCUAGAGCGCACUUAGCAGAGUCUCUUGGCCUCAUACCAGAGAUGUGGCAUUAGUUCUGACUUGCAAGGAAGAGCUUGACAAGGCGCAAGGCCAGGGCUCUGAGGGAUAUAAACGGCUGCCCUUAUGUAGCCCAGUCAUUGCAUAAAUAUAAACGAAAACCUCUGUGCGAGUGUGUGGGUGGAUGGAUGGAUGAAUGUAUAUCAAUGAAAAGAACCAGAGGACUCACUGUUGGCAAAUUCUUGCUGCGAAG